rnacentral:rRNA from 1 species
CCCCUUGAAGACGACGAGGUAGAUAGGUUGGGGGUGGAAGUGCAGUAAUGCAUGGAGCUGACCAAUACUAAUCGGUCGAGGGCUUAUCCUAAA